AUAUCAUGAGAAUGGUAUCACUACAACAGAGCAUUUCUUUGAAUUAGAUCCUGUGUUAGUUUGCACAUAUUCUCGUUUUCUGAUUAUAAAAGUUCUGAAAGAAUAUUUUUUAGGUGAGAAAAUUUUAGUUCAGAGAUUUAAAUGGUGGAGUUAACAGGGCUAGUAACAGGAAGAGCCAGAAUUGAUUAAUUCUAAUCCCAGUUCUUAACCAUUAUGCUAUAUUUCAGAUACUUGUUCAUAAUGUCCCUGCUGCAAUUUGACCUGGUGACUUCUUUUGAAAUUUUCAUUCUCGUUUAAAAUUGAGGAUUGAGUUUGGUUUUAUGAGGGUUUUAUGAUUCUUUAACUGCCAAUGCUUUUUUGUCUUAACAGUUCUUUUUCUCUCCCAGCCCACUUUAUUUUUGGCUUUAUAUUUCACCUGUGUUUCAAAAUAGUCCUCUAAAUUUUCCAAGUUCCUUUUUUCUCCUCUCUCUUUUUGGAAAUGCCCUAUUAUAUUCAGAGAAGUAAGAUUUAAACAUAAAAUGUUGUGUUUUACACAAAUUUUCAAGCACAUUUCUUAGAGGAAACGUAGUCAUACUUAUUUUUAAGCCACUUUCACAUUUUCACCAGACAAUAAAAACUAGUCUCUUGUUGAUAAAGUGCCUAAAAUAUAUGUCAGUCUAUGCCCGGUGCUGGAGAAGACACCUGCCAUUUUUAAACAUUUGCAUUAUAAGGAGGAAGACACAAUGAACAAGGAAUUCAGAAUGUGAUGAGGUCACUGUAGCAAACUGUUGUUUACCACUAGUGUGCAUUCUCCCCUUCUUACAGAAAUUACUGAUAAAUUCCCUGAUUCUUAGCCGGGAACAUAGCCGUCUGAACAAACAACUAUGUAAACCAGCUUCCCUGAUAGUGAAGUAGAAUCCCCUACAAAGUACUGGACCAAAAGAAUGGAAUCAAAAGGUUUAUGUGCUACAUUGAAAUGUUCUUCUUCCCACCACUGAAGUACAGAUUGAAUGGAUAGAACUCAAGGAGCUCACUUGGGCUUUGAGGUAAAGCCACAUGCUGGGGAUGAUAAGAGUGACAAGACAGAGGAGCCUGAGGCCCUAAUGAAUGGGGGGAGAUACCCUGUCAGUCCUGACUGCUUACUGCCAAAUGUGUUUACACAAG
rnacentral:lncRNA from 1 species